rnacentral:rRNA from 1 species
UACGUAGGGGGCAAGCGUUAUCCGGAAUUAUUGGGCGUAAAGAGCUCGUAGGCGGUUUGUCGCGUCUGCCGUGAAAGUCCGGGGCUCAACCCCGGAUCUGCGGUGGGUACGGGCAGACUAGAGUGAUGUAGGGGAGACUGGAAUUCCUGGUGUAGCGGUGAAAUGCGCAGAUAUCAGGAGGAACACCGAUGGCGAAGGCAGGUCUCUGGGCCAAUACUGACGCUCAGGCACGAAAGCGUGGGGAGCAAACAGG